UACAGAGGUCUCAAGCGUUGUUCGGAUUCAUUGGGCGUAAAGGGUGUGUAGGUGGCGCUGUAAGUCGGGUGUGAAAUUUCGGAGCUUAACUCCGAAACUGCAUUCGAUACUGCGGUGCUUGAGGACUGGAGAGGAGACUGGAAUUCAUGGUGUAGCAGUGAAAUGCGCAGAUAUCAGGAAGAACACCCGUGGCGAAGGUGGUUCUCUGGGACGGUACUGACGCUGAGACGCGAAAGCGUGGGGAGCGAACAGG
rnacentral:rRNA from 1 species